AUUCUCUGGUUUCUCUUCAGACUGUAUAAAUCUUUCGCCUUUUACUAAAGAUUUCCGUGGAAGAAAUCUCUCAAUUUGAAGAUAGAUAGAGGCUGGGGAUUUAGCUCAGUGGCAAAGC
rnacentral:snRNA from 1 species